AGUGAACGCUGGCGGCAGGCCUAAUACAUGCAAGUCGAACGGCAGCACAGCAGAGCUUGCUCUGUGGGUGGCGAGUGGCGGACGGGUGAGGAAUACGUGGGAAUCUGCCCAGUCGUGGGGGAUAACGUAGGGAAACUUACGCUAAUACCGCAUGCGCCCUUCGGGGAAAGCCGGGGACCUUCGGGCCUGGCGCGAUUGGAUGAGCCCACGUCGGAUUAGCUAGUUGGCGGGGUAAAGGCCCACCAAGGCGACGAUCCGUAGCUGGUCUGAGAGGACGAUCAGCCACACUGGAACUGAGACACGGUCCAGACUCCUACGGGAGGCAGCAGUAGGGAAUAUUGGACAAUGGGCGCAAGCCUGAUCCAGCCAUGCCGCGUGAGUGAAGAAGGCCCUCGGGUUGUAAAGCUCUUUGUCCGGGAAGAAAAGCGCCGGGUUAAUACCCUGGUGUCCUGACGGUACCGGAAGAAUAA
rnacentral:rRNA from 1 species